rnacentral:lncRNA from 1 species
GGGGUAGUGUAGAGCCAGUGUGCGGGGUAGUGUAGAGCCAGUGUGUGGGGUAGUGUAGAGCCAGUGUGGGGGGUAGUGUAGAGCCAGUGUGGGGGUAGUUGUAGACCCAAUGUGGGGCGUAGUGUAGAGCCAGUGUGGGGGUUAGUGUAGAGCCAGUGUGUGGGGUAGUGUAGAGCCAGUGUGGGGGGUAAUGUAGAGCCAGUGUGUGGGGUAGUGUAGAUCCAGUGUGGGGGGUAGUGUAGAGCAGGUGUGUGGGGGUAGUGUAGAUCCAGUGUGGGGGGUAGUGUAGAGCCAGUGUGCGGGGUAGUGUAGAGCCAGUGUGUGGGGUAGUGUAGAGCCAGUGUGGGGGGUAGUGUAGAGCCAGUGUGGGGUAGUGUAGAGCCAGUGUGUGGGGUAGUGUAGAGCCAGUGUGGGGGGUAGUGUAGAGCCAGUGUGGGGGGUAGUGUAGAGCCAGUGUGGGGGGUAGUGUAGAGCCAGUGUGGGGUAGUGUAGAGCCAGUGUGGGGGGUAGUGUAGAGCCAGUGUGUGGGGUAAUAUAGAGCCAGUUUGUGGGGUAGUGUAGAGCCAGUGUGUAUGGUAGUGUAGAGCCAGUGUGGGGGGUAGUGUAGAGUCAGUGUGUGGGGUAGUGUAGAGCCAGUGUGGGGUAGUGUAGAGCCAGUGUGGUGGGUAGUGUAGAGCCAGUGUGUGGGGUAGUGUAGAGCCAGUGUGGGGGUAGUGUAGAGCCAGUGUGUGGGGUAGUGUAGAGCCAGUGUGGGAGGUAGUGUAGAGCCAGUGUGUGGGGGUAGUGUAGAGCCGGUGUGUGGGGUAGUGUAGAGCCAGUGUGUGGGGUAGUGUAGAGCCAGUGUGUGGGGUAGUGUAGAGCCAUUGUGGGGGUAGUGUAGAGCCAGUGUGGGGGGUAGUGUAGAGCCAGUGUGGGGUAGUGUAGAGCCAGUGUGGGGGGUAGUGUAGAGCCAGUGUGGGGUAGUUUAGAGCCAGUGUGGGGUAAUGUAGAGCCAGUGUGUGGGGUAGUUGUAGAGCCAGUUUGUGGGGUAGUGUAGAGCCAGUGUGUAUGGUAGUGUAGAGCCAGUGUGGGGUAGUGUAGAUCCAGUGUGGGGGUAGUGUAGAGCCAGUGUGGGGUAGUGUAGAGCCAGUGUGGGGUAAUGUAGAGCCAGUGUGUGGGGUAGUGUAGAGCCAGUGUGGGGGGUAGUGUAGAGCCAGUGUGGGGGGUAGUGUAGAGCCAGUGUGGGGGGUAGUGUAGAGCCAGUGUGGGGGGUAGUGUAGAGCCAGUGUGGGGUAGUGUAGAGCCAGUGUGGGGGGUAGUGUAGAGCCAGUGUGUGGGGUAGUAUAGAGCCAGUUUGUGGGGUAGUGUAGAGCCAGUGUGUAUGGUAGUGUAGAGCCAGUGUGGGGUAGUGUAGAGCCAGUGUGGGGGGUAGUGUAGAGCCAGUGUGGGGUAGUGUAGAGCCAGUGUGGGGUAGUGUAGAGCCAGUGUGGGGGGUAGUGUAGAGCCAGUGUGGGGUAGUGUAGAGCCAGUGUGGGGGGUAG